GACGAACGCUGGCGGCGUGCUUAACACAUGCAAGUCGAACGGAAAGGCCUGCUUUCCCUUGUGGAUUGCGGGUACUCGAGUGGCGAACGGGUGAGUAACACGUGAGUGAUCUGCCCCCAACUUUGGUAUAAGCCUGGGAAACUGGGUCUAAUUCCCGAUAGGACUGCAGGGUGGUGCCUGUGGUGGAAAACGAUUUUCUAGUGGUUGGGGAUGAGCUCGCGGCCUAUCAGCUUGUUGGUGGGGUAAUGGCCUACCAAGGCGGCGACGGGUAGCCGGCCUGAGAGGGUGGACGGCCACAUUGGGACUGAGAUACGGCCCAGACGCCUACGGGAGGCAGCAGUGGGGAAUAUUGCACAAUGGGCGGAAGCCUGAUGCAGCGACGCCGCGUGGGGGAUGACGGCCUUCGGGUUGUAAACUCCUUUCGACCGCGAGGAAGCCACCUGGUUGGAAGGGUGGUGACGGUAGUGGUAGAAGAAGCACCGGCUAACUACGUG
rnacentral:rRNA from 1 species